rnacentral:sRNA from 1 species
AGCAGCCGCGGUAAUUCCAGCUCCAAUAGCGUAUAUUAAAGUUGUUGCAGUUAAAAAGCUCGUAGUUGAGCUUCGGGAUCAAUUGAUAUGGUCAUGCCUUGGUAUGUACUGUUCAUAUUGGUUCUCACCUUCUAAUGAACCAUAAUGUCAUUUAUUUGAUGUUAUGGGGAAUUAGGACUGUUACCUUAGAAAAAUUAGAGUGUUUAAAGCAGGCUCACGCUUGAAUACAUUAGCAUGGAAUAAUGAAAUAGGACAUCGCAUUCUAUUUUGUUGGUUUCUAGGAUCGAUGUAAUGAUUAAUAGGGAUAGUUGGGGGCAUUAGUAUUCAAUUGUCAGAGGUGAAAUUCUUGGAUUUAUUGAAGACUAACUACUGCGAAAGCAUUUGCCAAGGAUGUUU